rnacentral:rRNA from 1 species
AGUAACGGCGAGUGAACAGGGAUUAGCCCAGCACCGAAGUCUGCGUCCGUUUGGACGUUCGACAAUGUGGUGUUUAGGUUGGUAUCUUUUUGUGUUGCUCUGUUUAAAGUCCAUUCUUGAAUAUGGCUAAUAGUUUGGCCCAGAGAGGGUGAAAGGCCCGUGUGGAUGGAGCGAUGCUUGACUGUGUUAACUAUGGAGUCGGGUUGUUUGAGAAUGCAGCCCAAAGUUGGUGGUAAACUCCAUCUAAGGCUAAAUACUGGCACGAGUCCGAUAGCGAACAAGUACCGUGAGGGAAAGUUGAAAAGUACUCUGAAGAGAGAGUUAACAGUGCGUGAAACCGCUUAUAAGCAAACGGGUGUAGUCAAGCUGCAAGCCUUAAGAAAUAGGGGGGUCAGAUUGGCGUGAGUCUGAGCAUAUAGAACUGGCAAAUGGGUCCGAUUUUGUCGGGGUCUGGUCUCUACAGGCUAAAUUUUGAAAAGCCUGACCCCUUGCAAAGCUAGUUUGCUGGUGGUCCUGUGGGCCUCUCCUUUUUCUUUGGCCUAUUUCACCACCCGCCUCGCUGGCCGGCCGCUCUGGUUCAACCGUUACUGGAAGAAUUUCCCGCUUGUUGGCUUGCCGGAGGAGGGAGCUGGGACGGGUCUCGCCUGGCUAGUGGAAUUUGCUGAACGGAGUGGUAUCUGUAACUGUGCAGUGAGACGUGACUGGCGGUGCUUUGCGUGCUUGUGAGCUAACGUGUGCUGGCGUGGGCUACGUAUGGCUGCUAGUAGCGGCCAUAACAUCCUGGACUGCGCCCGACUGCGCGUUUGCGCAUGGCUUUCCUGUGCCUAUCUUUGUGUCGUACUAUAGAUGAUCCACACUACCCAGACUAGACACCCCGGA